GUAAACAUAGUUUAUUCAAAACACUAGACUGUGACUCUAGAAACAGAAGCUUUCCCCCUUCUUGUUUACC
rnacentral:tRNA from 1 species